GGCCUUUUUUGCCGGUUCUUCCCGCUGAGGAAGUGUCGCUCAAGACGCUGGCCUAUGAACUUCCUAGCAUGGGCUGUUGUGCUGGAGAGAACGAGAGCUACGAAGAGACUACAGUGCCUCUGACUUUUUCAUAGGACAGUUGGCCGAGGAAGACAAACAUAAAGAUGAAGUGCUUAAUUCAAGGUCACACAAUGUCGGGGAUGGACCUCCAGAUUUCCUUACUGACCUGCAUUAUCUUGUGGAUACCUGAGUGAAUUCCACACCACCCAUUUUAUAGAUGAAACCACUGAGACAUGGAGCAAUUGACUGAGUAGUCACUGCCCCACCCCUGCCUGGAGCCUCACACAUGACUCGCCUCCUCUCAGUGACCACAGGAAAACAAGCUCAGGGCUCCCACUGAUUGUACAUUAUGGUGAGACGUGGUCUUGUAACACAGUGGUUAAGAAUGUGACUUUGGAGCCAGCCUGCUAGGGGCUGAAUUCUGACUCAGCCAUUUACUAACUGUGUGACCUUAGGCUGGAGUGCAAUGGCAUGAUCUCGGCUCAUCACAACCUCUGCUUCCUGGGUUCAAGCGAUUCUCCUGCCUCAGCCUCCCGAG
rnacentral:lncRNA from 10 species